UUUUAAGUCCCCCGAGCCUUUCUUUAACUUCCCCAGCGAACGGGCCUUCAAACGGAUCAAAAACGGUCAAAACGGGCCAAAAAUCCCGCCCAGAUUGUGAGGCCGGAGCCCCAGGUGUGAGGCGGGCGCCUCACACUGGCGCCCCCGCCUUACGGCUCAGGCGGGAGCCUCAGCCCAUCAGCCCGCGCAGCCAACGCUUCUUUGCCCAUAACUCUCUCGUCGUGCAUUCGAUUGCUUCGCAGUUUUUUUCAAUGAAAGCUAUGGAUCUCCUCUUCGUUCUCCUCCUGAGACACCUACAUAACACAACACUAAAACAUAUCAAAAACAUCAAAAGCUUGAGGCCAUUUCAUCGUUUUAAGUCAAAACGAAGGCUUCCAAGUGGAUAUAACAUCCACUUAUCACACCCCCCAAACUUAAAGCGAUGCGUGUCCUCAAGCAUAGACACACACAAAAAUACUACUAAUGAAAUGCAUGAAUGCAACUAAAUGCCUACAUCUAAUCGAAUCAUGAAGUGUAAUUUUUGUUAACAUAGCAUCCUCAGAAUAUGCAACAUUCGCGGUAUUCAUCUCUUUCACAUAUUAGCCAUGUUCUCUUCCACUCCAAGUGUGAAGUGCAUCGUGUGUGCUAGCAUGCUCUCUAGCGAAACAAAACAAAGACCAUCAAACUUCAACAGAGUCCUCACUAUGAGCCGUUAAUCAGAAUCAGGUUUAAACACUUCUUUACUAAAGUGUCAACUAUAAUUUAGGGUCACUAAAGAAAUCCUACGCCUCGCCUAUUUUUUUCUUUUUUUUCUUUCUAAGUCUAAGGUUAGGACGCUUCUCAGUGUAANCAAAAGCUUGAGGCCAUUUCAUCGUUUUAAGUCAAAACGAAGGCUUCCAAGUGGAUAUAACAUCCACUUAUCACACCCCCCAAACUUAAAGCGAUGCGUGUCCUCAAGCAUAGACACACACAAAAAUACUACUAAUGAAAUGCAUGAAUGCAACUAAAUGCCUACAUCUAAUCGAAUCAUGAAGUGUAAUUUUUGUUAACAUAGCAUCCUCAGAAUAUGCAACAUUCGCGGUAUUCAUCUCUUUCACAUAUUAGCCAUGUUCUCUUCCACUCCAAGUGUGAAGUGCAUCGUGUGUGCUAGCAUGCUCUCUAGCGAAACAAAACAAAGACCAUCAAACUUCAACAGAGUCCUCACUAUGAGCCGUUAAUCAGAAUCAGGUUUAAACACUUCUUUACUAAAGUGUCAACUAUAAUUUAGGGUCACUAAAGAAAUCCUACGCCUCGCCUAUUUUUUUCUUUUUUUUCUUUCUAAGUCUAAGGUUAGGACGCUUCUCAGUGUAAGUGAGUCACGACCGCACUUCGACCUCGCUUAUUCCUUUUUUUUUUUAAUCAAGUAAUUCUCCAGUAAUCAAGGGUUGUGAAAAGUCACCAAGAAUUUGCUUAUUCUAAUACAUUUGCACUUAAUACCAGCACAAGUACAUGGAUCGUCCCUUUCACAUGCCAUUGCAUUCUACCCAUUGAUCUCAAAACAGUACCUGAUAAUUUUUAUUCUCUUUUUUUUCUUUUUUUUAGAAAGGCAUAUUCAUCCCUUAACUCCCCCAAACUUAAGAUUUACAAACUCCUAGUUCAAAAAGGGAAUAAUCUAAACUCUACGCCCGACUCAACGCAAGGACUCAAGAGAUAAGUUAGCCUAAGUCUUAUCUCUAGAGCAUAAGUGUAAUUACAAUUUCCACAAAAGCAGUUUCCAAUUAACAAGGCAUCACAUAUGAUAAAGACUACUAGCCAAGAAAUUAUGCACCUAAACUCAUCAUAGAAAAUUAACUUGGAAAAGAACUUCAAGAUUCAUACAAAUGCAACUAUAUGAAAACUAUUAACACAUACUAAACACAAGCAUAUAUAUAAAAAAACACGUAUGAAACACAC
rnacentral:lncRNA from 1 species